UCCCCGUUACCGGGGCAGUCCAACUAGAAAAAUACAACUAGUUGCAAGGGUUGCGCUCGUUGAUGGACUUAACCAAACAUCUCACGACACGAGCUGACGACGGCCAUGCAUCACCUGUCACCUUGCUCAAUAAAGCACUCACUUCUUUCGAAGUAAUUCAAGGGAUGUCAAGCCCUGGUAAGGUUCUUCGUUUAGCGUCGAAUUAAAGAACACGAUCCACCGCUUGUGCGGGUCCCCGUCAAUUCCUUUAUGUUUUAGUCUUGCGACCGUACUCCACAGGCGGGAUACUUAACGCGUUAGCUUCGCUACUGAAGGGGUCGAUACCUCCAACAGCUAGUAUCCAUAGUUUACGGCGUGGACUAC
rnacentral:misc_RNA from 1 species